rnacentral:rRNA from 1 species
UACAGAGGUCUCGAGCGUUGUUCGGAUUCAUUGGGCGUAAAGGGUGCGUAGGUGGCGCAGUAAGUCGGGUGUGAAAUCCUGAGGCUUAACCUCAGAACUGCAUUCGAUACUGCUGUGCUUGAGGACUGGAGAGGAGACUGGAAUUCAUGGUGUAGCAGUGAAAUGCGUAGAGAUCAUGAGGAAGACCAGUGGCGAAGGCGGGUCACUGGCCCGGUACUGACGCUGAGGUGCGAAAGCGUGGGGAGCAAACAGG